GUCAGCGGCAGACGGGUGAGUCACGCGUGGGCACGUCCCUUUUGGUUCGGAACAACACAGGGUAAACUUGUGCUCAUCCCGGAUCAGCCCUUACGGGGUAAAGAUUUAUCGCCGAAAGCUCGGCCCGCGUCUGAUUAGCUAGUUGGUGAGGUAAUGGCUCACCAAGGCGACGAUCAGUAGCUGGUCUGAUAGGAUGAUCAGCCACAUUGGGACUGAGUACACGGCCCAAACUCCUACGGGAGGCAGCAGUGGGGAAUAUUGGACAAUGGGCGCAAGCCUGAUCCAGCCAUGCCGCGUGAGUGAUGAAGGCCCUAGGGUUGUAAAGCUCUUUUGUGCGGGAAGAUAAUGACGGUACCGCAAGAAUAAGCCCCGGCUAACUUCGUGCCAGCAGCCGCGGUAAUACGAAGGGGGCUAGCGUUGCUCGGAAUCACUGGGCGUAAAGGGUGCGUAGGCGGGUCUUUAAGUCAGGGGUGAAAUCCUGGAGCUCAACUCCAGAACUGCCCUUGAUACUGAGGAUCUUGAGUUCGGGAGAGGUGAGUGGAACUGCGAGUGUAAAGGUGAAAUUCGUAGAUAUUCGCAAGAACACCAGUGGCGAAGGCGGCUCACUGGCCCGAUACUGACGCUGAGGCACGAAAGCGUGGGGA
rnacentral:rRNA from 1 species